rnacentral:ncRNA from 1 species
UUAAAGUUUUAUUCUGGUUUAUUUGAUUGAUAUUUAGUUUAAGUAAAUGUUAAUUUUUGUGUUAAAAUUAAAAAUUUAAAUAGUAUAUUUAUGCAGUAUUUAAUUAUUAAAAAUUUAAAGAAAUUUAGAUUUAGAAAUUUAUUUUAGAAUUAACAGAUUUUGUGCCAGCAGUUGCGGUUAUACAAAAGAUUCAAUUAAUCAUUAAAAAAUUAUAAUAAAAAUUAUUUUUUUUUUAUAUUUUAAUUUAUUAGGUGAAAUUUUAAGUUGAAUAUAAUAAUAAUUUUAUUUUUUGAUUUAUUAAAUUUUGUAAUAAACUAGGAUUAGAUACCCUAUUAUUAAAAUGUAAAUUUUGUAAGUUUGAUUAGUAUUAGAUAUAUCUUGAAAAUUAAAGAAUUUGGCGGUAUUUUAGUCUUUUCAGAGGAACCUGUUCUGUAAUUGAUAAUCCACGAUUAAUUUAACUUAAUUCAGAAAUUUGUAUAUCGUUGUAGUUGAAUAUUUUAUAAGAAUUUUAAUAUUCAAAAUUUUUUAUUAAAAAAAUAAAUCAAAUCAAGGUGCAGUUUAUAAUUAAGAAGAAAUGGGUUACAAUAAAUUUAUUUUUGGAUUAAUAAUUGAAAAUUAUUUUGAAAUUGGAUUUGAAUGUAAUUAUAUUGAUUUUAAUAUGAUGAUUUUAGCUCUAAAAUAUGUACAUAUUGCCCGUCGCUCUCAUUUAAGAUGAGAUAAGUCGUAACAUAGUAGAUGUACUGGAAAGUGUAUCUAGAAAGCA